GUGCCAGCCGCCGCGGUAAUACGGAGGGUGCAAGCGUUGUCCGGAAUCACUGGGCGUAAAGGGUGCGCAGGCGGGGCAGCAAGUCGGAGGUGAAAGCCCAUGGCUCAACCAUGGAAGUGCCUUCGAAACUGUUGCUCUUGAGUCCCGGAGAGGCUGUCGGAAUUCGUGGUGUAGCGGUGAAAUGCGUAGAUAUCACGAGGAACACCAGAGGCGAAAGCGGACAGCUGGACGGGUACUGACGCUCAGGCACGAAAGCCAGGGUCUCCAACCGGAUUAGAAACCCGUGUAGUCC
rnacentral:rRNA from 1 species